UUUAAACUGUUUGUCUAUGGUACCAAUCAAAGCUGAAAAUCUAUUGGUGUACAAAAUAAAGAACUCUGUCAGUAACGUGUUGCUGCAGUUAAUUUUUGAUAAACAGACGUGACUCAUUUUAUGUGCAGGUGUUAACAGAGAUUCUUUAUAUAUAUUCUACGUUACAUAUUUAAUCUUUGCUGUGAAAUUAGUUUUGUGAGUGGAAAUAAUAUGAAAACUUUUCAUAUUAUUGGAAUUACUUCUGGAAUUUUUACGAUUGUCCUUAUGAUAACAGUAUACUUUUUAAGCAAAUACCGAUUGAUAUGUUUCAAACCGAGAGAGCCAGAACUGGUAAAAGUUUCAGUUAUGCAAGAUAAUAAAUCAUUCAUACAGCAGGAACAAAGUGUCUACAGAGUCUGAUAUGUUUAAUAAUUUUAUAUUUGAUUAAUUUUUAUAUGUAAUGAUUUUUUAAAUAAUUUAUUAAUAACUUUUACUUUUAUAGAUUGUACUUAUGCACACAGUAUUAUAAAAUUAGUAAAAAAUAA